GGGAUUCUCUUUCCUUCCUGUAUCCA
rnacentral:piRNA from 1 species